CCCUUCCCUGGUUCACCCUCCCCCACUCCCUCACCCCUUCGCGUCUCUGCCCACCCCUCCCAGAAGCCGCAGACCCAGGGCUAGCUCCCGCAGUUCGCUCCGCCCCUGACUCUACUCCUCGUACUUGUACAGCCAAUCAAAGAGGCUAACUCUGCCCCUUCUCCGGAGGCGGCCAAUGUGGAGAGACUUCGGAUCCACCUCCUUCCCAGCUGAGAGCACACAACACAGCAUCCACGUGAGUCAGCUUCUUAAAGGAGAAGGCUCAGCCUUUCUAAUUGCGGCAGCUGUAAGACAUCGCGCGUCAUCAGCGUCACCAGGUGGUGGCUAAGGCCUACCUUUUUGAGACCCAGUGAUGACAAAUGAAAACAACAGGCUGUUUUUCUAAGGCAAAGCAGGUGCCUUGAUAGUUAACACCUUACCGUGUCGUUAAUUUCUUUGAGAUUGCUUACUUUUGUCAUGCCUUAAAAAAGGCCACCUUUUGUUGACAAACCCCAAACCCUUUGAAUCUCGGUGUAUAGGAGAUCCGGAAGAACAUGGGAAAAGGCAUUUUUCAAGUGUGCCCGACUGAAUUUACAACUCGAGUUUUCUUUUGGUAGUGGAAAUGAUUAUCAAGAGGAUGAGAAAAUUCCACAUAGAGAUUUCUACCUCUGAAAGUCCGAUAUUUGUUGAAGAAGGUAGCUGUUCCCCCUAACCCUCAUCGACGCCUAAGAUAGGUUUUGCGUCUCAUCUUAUUUGAGUUUCCCAGAUGAGUAAACUGAAGCACAGUGAUUAACAUGCCUAAGGUCACCCAGUAGAGUUAUUAUACUCUGUAAUCGUAAACUUGGAAGAGAAUGAUGAAAAGGUUAAUCUAGAUGACGACGACGUGCAGAGUUAAAAUCCAAAUGUGAGCCUCCACGUGCCUGUCCCUUCCUGAAGCUGCAUGCUUGAUGGAAGAUGGAAGAUGACCUUCCCUGAGUGAGAGAAGGACUGUUCUUCCGUCAAAGGUAUACAAGUAGCUGCACUCUUUUGCUAGAACCCCCAAACAAGCUCUCAAAGUCCAUUUGUAGGAGAAUGUAGGGUAGUCAAGCUUCCAAGACUCCAGACUCAUUGCAGUGAGGCACAGCACACAGAAGUUUGCCUUUCUUUAAAAAACGAGAGAGAUUGCUACAUAAAAGGGGACACCAGGGGUGUGUAAAAUAGAAAAAACCAUGUGAGGACGCAGAAGGCCACCUGCAAGCCAAGGAGUGAGACCUUGGUAGAAAACCAAUCUGCUGACACCUUGAACUUGGACUUCUAGCCUCCAGAACUAUGAGAAAUAAAUUUCUGUUGUGUAAGCCACCUAGUGUAUGGGAUUUUGUUGAAUCAGUCCUAGGAAACUAACAGAGGGGAUUACUGUGAGUGGAACUUACUUCUACUACAUAUUACAACUCUUCUUGGUUGAAAAUUAUU